GGAGAGGUGGCCGAGUGGCUGAAGGCGCACGCUUGGAAAGCGUGUUUAGGGUAACACUUAACGUGGGUUCGAAUCCCACUCUCUCCGCCA
rnacentral:tRNA from 1 species